GAGCUUGCUCCUUUGACGUUAGCGGCGGACGGGUGAGUAACACGUGGGUAACCUACCUAUAAGACUGGGAUAACUUCGGGAAACCGGAGCUAAUACCGGAUAAUAUUUCGAACCGCAUGGUUCGAUAGUGAAAGAUGGUUUUGCUAUCACUUAUAGAUGGACCCGCGCCGUAUUAGCUAGUUGGUAAGGUAACGGCUUACCAAGGCGACGAUACGUAGCCGACCUGAGAGGGUGAUCGGCCACACUGGAACUGAGACACGGUCCAGACUCCUACGGGAGGCAGCAGUAGGGAAUCUUCCGCAAUGGGCGAAAGCCUGACGGAGCAACGCCGCGUGAGUGAUGAAGGUCUUCGGAUCGUAAAACUCUGUUAUUAGGGAAGAACAUACGUGUAAGUAACUAUGCACGUCUUGACGGUACCUAAUCAGAAAGCCACGGCUAACUACGUGCCAGCAGCCGCGGUAAACGUAGGUGGCAGCGUUUCCGGAAUAUUGGGCGUAAAGCGCGCGUAGGCGGUUUUUUAAGUCUGAUGUGAAAGCCCACGGCUCACCGUGGAGGGCAUUGGAACUGGAAAACUUGAGUGCGAAGAGGAAGUGGAAUUCAUGUGUAGCGGUGAAUGCGCAGAGAAUGGAGGAACCCAGUGGCGAAGCGACUUUCUGG
rnacentral:rRNA from 1 species